AUGGGCAUCUUCCCUAUGAUUUUCUCUCUAUUGGUACUCAGGUCACUAGGAAAGCCAAUAGCUCUGGUAUCUGGAGGUGUAACAAGCCAUCGGAGCCCCGAAGGGAACUGGGCGCAACCAUCCCGUGCCGGUGCCACGCUGCAUGGCUGCCUGAAGAGCUGCGGCAAGCUGAGCUUCACGUAUCCCUUUGGCAUCGGAUCCAGGUGCUCGGGCGGGCCUGACUUCAACCUCAUUUGCAACGACACCGCUCAUCCACCGAGGCUCUUCUUGCGCGACGGCAUCACUGAGGUGAUCAAAUUUGGCAAUCCUACUUUAUUAAAUUCAAUCUGGGCCUCCGUCUCCCAUACCAUCCCCAUACAACCUGGUGUCAGUGUCUACAACUUGUCUUUGAAACCGCCUGGGAGAUCCUUCCAUCUUCAUUCCAUUGCUCUAAAGAUAGCUGGCUGUGACCUGGAGGUGUACUCCAUCGAAGAGAACUCCGUUAAGUCAAUCUGUGCAACUGUGUGCCCAGAUCCAGAAAUCACGGAGAUAGUAGCUGCGCACAACUGUAAUGGCUUUGGAUGUUGUCGUGUACACAUGGAAAGCUAUGCCAACACUUACCAGUUGAAAUUUGUCCACAUCACAAAAAACACCAGCACGGGCUCGAACAAGACCUCUCCACUGUGGGAUAGAAUCAGCAUAACUAGUGAAGGGCCGAGUGGUUUUAAGCUAUCGUGGCAGAUAGUUGACCAAUCCAACUGUGUUGCUGCCAUGCAAAACAUGAAAAACUGUGCCUGUAUCGGCGAGUAUGCCAAGUGCAUUGAUAGUACAACCAAUUCCUGUGACAUCGACGAUGCGCAGUGCAUUGACAGAAGCUAUGGCUACAGCUGUAUUUGCAGCACUGGUUAUUCAGGCAACCCCUACAUUCCACAUGGCUGCUUGAUCGAUGAAGGUAACCUUCUUUCCUAA
rnacentral:rRNA from 1 species